CUUGGUUGUUUUGUGGGGCUAAUCACUAGAAGGUCUUCUGUGACUGGAUGAUGACUCUGCUGAAGUAGUUGAAAUAAUUCUACUUCUGAUAGAAUCUCUCUGCUGUUAGACAACUAUAAUUAAUCACUUAUCUAGAUUUUCUUUUGUUUCCUCUCAAAGUUACGAUUCCACAGAUGCUCAUGAUAUCUUCAAUGGCAAUAUUGGGAACUUAACCAUUUAUUAAGCUUUGAUAUUUUCUGUGUAGUCUGUAGUAGAACAUUUGCCCGGAUUCAGGCUAAAAGUGUACUAAUCUUUCUGGGAAACAUAUUUACUCCUUAAUGAUGAACCUCAGGUAUGAUGCCCAACAUAAACUAUGGUUUUCAAAAGGCUCCUUAAUCUCUUAGGAGAGACUGAAACGCUACUUCUGUGAGGGAUGGCUAGUUUUAUCUGGUACAACUAGCCUAUAAACUUCCUAAAAUAACGACAUAAAUGACCAAGUACAGGACAAAAAAGAUCUUAUUUGAUAAUGUCAACAUUAAGUUUAUAGAGAUCAUAUCCUGUUGCCUCAAAUACAGAAUGUACAAGAUAUUGAGAAUAAAAAACUCUAAAACUUCUUUCUUAAACUUAUUGUGCCUAUAAAGUAUAAAGCAGCGCCGUUAGACCUUUAAAUUGGGGUCCCAAUUUAUCGAGCUACAAUGGUAAAAACAAAUAAAUUUUCUGAAAUUUUAAACUAAUUAAUGAGAAAACUAAGAUAUGUUCAGCAAAAUAAAAGGACUCAAUAAUUUUAUUAAAUGGAAUGCGAUGCAGCAAAAGCAAGUUGAUUGCUCCUGGAUUUGUCCUAUCUACUGAAAUUUUUUAACACCAUCAUCCAAUUAAAAAAAAUCUUAAAGUAAAGAUUAAAAAAAAGAGACAGUAUAAUUAUAUAGUUAAAUAGUGCUGCAAAAUUCCAAGUUACAAAAUCCCAGAUAUGUCAAGGAAAAGUGCGAGUAAGUUUAUAUGUAUUAGGAUGCUUUCAUUUUAUGCAGAUGUAGCAUAUCAACUUAAAUGAGUAUUGCAUACAUAAUUUCCUAGCUCCACUCCUUCUCCUGCAUACAAGCUCUCGGAAUCCUAACUUAUAUCUUGUGCACCUAUGGAUUUAAAACAUUUAAAACUUCAAACUAUUCUUUGUGUCUAUUCCUGAUACUGUGAUAAUUUCCUGAAAUCCUCUUGUGUUAUGUAUUUCAGGUUCUAAAUUUAUGUCUAGCCUUAGUUGUAAAAGUAGAAAUUCAAGAAGAUUGUCUCUGUAUAGGCUACAUUAUCAGGCUAAAGAAUGUACCUUUUAGGUGAACCAUCUUCAUGAUACUUUCAAUGCAACACUUUCUCAUGCACCUACACAAGGCUUGAGUUCUUUUUGAAUGGUCUACAUCUAUGAAAGAGAUGUCUUACCAUUGUCUCAACUCUCAUGACAUAUUGAUUUUUCAUUGUGUGUGUCUAUCAAAAGAUUUAAUGUCCAGUGUGCAAUUUAAUGAACUUACCUGAUUGGUUAAGUUUUACUCUAGUCCAUCUUGUGAGCUGUUUGUCCCGGUGCACUUUUGUUUUUAAAAGGAGAAAAAGUGAAUAUAAGUUCACAAAGCCAGAGGAUUGGCUUCUUGGGUUGUUCUUUCCUUUUACCACUUAGAGUGAUUCUUGUACUCAAUGUGAAAGUGUUUCACAUAUUCUUGUAUUUUGGUGUUUUGAUAUUCUCACAAAGGCUUGGACCUGGUCCAAGGUAGAAUAGCCUUCGGUCAAGUAUGAAUGGUGAACAACUGUAAAGCUGUCUUGUCAGUGGUUGGUGAGAAGGACAGUGUACUCCUCCAAUGAGAAUGGACGAGGUUGUUUGUUCAACGGAUAAUACAUCCUUGGUUGAUUGAUAUAUUCAACACAACAAAUAUUAUUCAUUCAAAAAGUGUGAUAUUUUGUCUCGGAAGAACUCAAGUUUUAACACGCACACAACAAGGGACCUGAUAGAGCUACCAAAUAUAGGAACACAGUUUGAGUUGAUUGUGUGUCUUGUAAGUGAAGUCUAUAUUAAUUAGAGUUAGGUAAUAUAGUGGGCAAUGGAGGCAUUGCUUUGGCUCGUUUAAGUAAUAGAGUUAUUACUUGUAGUGAGAUUAAGAGUUUAAUCUCGUGUGGUGAUUACUUGUAGUGAGAUUAAGAGUUUAAUCUCGUGUGGUGAUUACUUGUAGUGAGAUUAAGAGUUUAAUCUCGUGUGGUGAUUACUUGUAGUGAGAUUAAGAGUUUAAUCUCGUGUGGUGAUUACUUGUAGUGAGAUUAAGAGUUUAAUCUCGUGUGGUGAUUACUUGUAGUGAGAUUAAGAGUUUAAUCUCGUGUGGUGAUUACUUGUAGUGAGAUUAAGAGUUUAAUCUCGUGUGGUGAUUACUUGUAGUGAGAUUAAGAGUUUAAUCUCGUGUGGUGAUUACUUGUAGUGAGAUUAAGAGUUUAAUCUCGUGUGGUGAUUACUUGUAGUGAGAUUAAGAGUUUAAUCUCGUGUGGUGAUUACUUGUAGUGAGAUUAAGAGUUUAAUCUCGUGUGGUGAUUACUUGUAGUGAGAUUAAGAGUUUAAUCUCGUGUGGUGAUUACUUGUAGUGAGAUUAAGAGUUUAAUCUCGUGUGGUGAUUACUUGUAGUGAGAUUAAGAGUUUAAUCUCGUGUGGUGAUUACUUGUAGUGAGAUUAAGAGUUUAAUCUCGUGUGGUGAUUACUUGUAGUGAGAUUAAGAGUUUAAUCUCGUGUGGUGAUUACUUGUAGUGAGAUUAAGAGUUUAAUCUCGUGUGGUGAUUACUUGUAGUGAGAUUAAGAGUUUAAUCUCGUGUGGUGAUUACUUGUAGUGAGAUUAAGAGUUUAAUCUCGUGUGGUGAUUACUUGUAGUGAGAUUAAGAGUUUAAUCUCGUGUGGUGAUUACUUGUAGUGAGAUUAAGAGUUUAAUCUCGUGUGGUGAUUACUUGUAGUGAGAUUAAGAGUUUAAUCUCGUGUGGUGAUUACUUGUAGUGAGAUUAAGAGUUUAAUCUCGUGUGGUGUAUUUGAAGCCUGUAUUCACUUAUUGCUUGAUAUUAGUGAAAACAGUUGGAAAUCCUUGAUAGCUCUAUCAGGUCCCUUGCGGUGUGCAUGUUAAAGCUUGAGUUCUUCCGAGACAAUAUCACACUUUUUGAAUGAAUAAUAUUUGUUGUGUUGAAUGUAUCAAUCAACCAAGGAUGUAUUAUCUGUUGAACAAACAACCUCGUUCAUUCUCAUUGGAGGAGUACACCGUCCUUCUCACCAACCACUAACAAGACAGCUUUACAGUUGUUCACCAUUCAUACUUGGACAAAGGCUAUUCUACCUUGGACCAGGUCCCAACCUUUGUGAGAAUCAUCAAAACACUGAAAUACUACAUAUGGCAACAAGGGAACGGAGAUAGGGGGAAUGAUAACGAUAUGAAUGAAUAAUUACAUGCAGGAGCUGUUUGUUUUUCAUCAUCAAAAAGGGGGAAAAUGUGAAAACUCCUUGCCUUUACUGUUCUUCUUAAUUUCUUUUACUGCAUUCCAGUAUACCUUCAACCUGGUACUAUAGCACACUGUGAGUUAGCAUACAUCAAUACGUAUUUCACUUGCACUUCUCCGGUUACUAAUUUGGUUGCCAUUUCUUUAAUCAAUAGGUCUUUCAUCUCUUUUGCUAGUGAUAUAUAUUGUGUUCAUUUCUGUGCUUUCCUUAUGGACUCGUCAUUUUUUUUUUCCUAGGACAUUCCUGUUACUGAUAGACUAAAAUGUGGAUCAACAGACUGUUACUGGAAUUCCAAUGGUAUCAGUAAACUCGGUUGGAUUAACUAAGCAUCUUACUUUGAAUAUGGUGGCCUCCUUGAAUUUGAGUAUAAUAGAGGUUCUUUGAUUGUAGCUUCAAUGUUGCAUCCUUGCUUCUGGCUUGCUAACUGCAAAGCUUGUUGUAAAUAUUACUUUGGCUUCUUAGAUCUUUUGUAAAUUUUUGCUUUAAGCCAUGUCUUCUUUCAGUCAAUGUAUCAAUAUUCCAUGUGAUCUUCUCGUGAUGUGUGUUCCUCAAGAGGGAUGCUUCUAUAUGCCAUCUUUGAUGCUGCGUCUCAAUCUGAUGAGAUAAUUUGGUUGUUUGGUGUUGUCUCUCCGUUAGCGUAGAAACACUUAUCUCAUAAUUGAUAAUGUCAAGUGUCUAUUGUUAAAAACUUUAUGAUAUGCUUGUUUAAAAACCAAUUAUCAUGUGCGAAAUUAUAUAGAAGAUCCCCUUUAAGAUAAAAUAAU
rnacentral:lncRNA from 1 species